rnacentral:rRNA from 1 species
AGAGUUUGAUCAUGGCUCAGAGCGAACGCUGGCGGCAGGCUUAACACAUGCAAGUCGAGCGGGCGUAGCAAUACGUCAGCGGCAGACGGGUGAGUAACGCGUGGGAACAUACCUUUUGGUUCGGAACAACCCAGGGAAACUUGGGCUAAUACCGGAUAAGCCCUUACGGGGAAAGAUUUAUCGCCGAAAGAUUGGCCCGCGUCUGAUUAGCUAGUUGGUGAGGUAACGGCUCACCAAGGCGACGAUCAGUAGCUGGUCUGAGAGGAUGAUCAGCCACAUUGGGACUGAGACACGGCCCAAACUCCUACGGGAGGCAGCAGUGGGGAAUAUUGGACAAUGGGCGCAAGCCUGAUCCAGCCAUGCCGCGUGAGUGAUGAAGGCCCUAGGGUUGUAAAGCUCUUUUGUGCGGGAAGAUAAUGACGGUACCGCAAGAAUAAGCCCCGGCUAACUUCGUGCCAGCAGCCGCGGUAAUACGAAGGGGGCUAGCGUUGCUCGGAAUCACUGGGCGUAAAGGGUGCGUAGGCGGGUCUUUAAGUCAGGGGUGAAAUCCUGGAGCUCAACUCCAGAACUGCCUUUGAUACUGAAGAUCUUGAGUUCGGGAGAGGUGAGUGGAACUGCGAGUGUAGAGGUGAAAUUCGUAGAUAUUCGCAAGAACACCAGUGGCGAAGGCGGCUCACUGGCCCGAUACUGACGCUGAGGCACGAAAGCGUGGGGAGCAAACAGGAUUAGAUACCCUAGUAGUCC